UGUAGGAGUGAGCCUGCUCGCGAUAGCGGUGUGUCAGUCGGUAUUCUUGCCACUGACACACCGCUAUCGCGAGCAGGCUCACUCCUACA
rnacentral:antisense_RNA from 1 species